rnacentral:rRNA from 1 species
UACGUAGGUGGCAAGCGUUGUCCGGAUUUAUUGGGUUUAAAGGGUGCGUAGGCGGUCUUCUAAGUCAGUUGUGAAAUACUUCAGCUUAACUGGAGAGGUGCAAUUGAUACUGGAAGACUUGAGUACUGAUGAGGUAGGCGGAAUGGACGGUGUAGCGGAUGAAAUGCUUAGUAGUAUCGUCCAGAACACCGAUAGCGAAGGCAGCUUACUAAGGAGUAACUGACGCUGAGGCACGAAAGUGUGGGGAUCAAACAGG